AUUGAACGCUGGCGGCAGGCUUAACAUAUGCAAGUCGAGCGGGGGAAGGUAGCUUGCUACCGGACCUAGCGGCGGACGGGUGAGUAAUGCUUAGGAAUCUGCCUAUUAGUGGGGGACAACAUCUCGAAAGGGAUGCUAAUACCGCAUACGUCCUACGGGAGAAAGCAGGGGAUCUUCGGACCUUGCGCUAAUAGAUGAGCCUAAGUCGGAUUAGCUAGUUGGUGGGGUAAAGGCCUACCAAGGCGACGAUCUGUAGCGGGUCUGAGAGGAUGAUCCGCCACACUGGGACUGAGACACGGCCCAGACUCCUACGGGAGGCAGCAGUGGGGAAUAUUGGACAAUGGGGGGAACCCUGAUCCAGCCAUGCCGCGUGUGUGAAGAAGGCCUUAUGGUUGUAAAGCACUUUAAGCGAGGGGGAGGCUACUUUAGUUAAUACCUAGAGAUAGUGGACGUUACUCGCAGAAUAAGCACCGGCUAACUCUGUGACAGCCGCCGCGGUAA
rnacentral:rRNA from 1 species